AAGUACCAUCAACGAUUACAUGUUUAUUUCACUACCAGAAUUCAAUUUUGGCAAGCUUCACAACAAAACAAUAUAUGUAUGGUCGACGUUAUGAAUGGUUGAAAUACUUGUGUUUAUAUAUUUGUACGUUUGCAUUUUUAGAUGUAUAGAUUGAGAUACAGACGAACCCCUACACUCCAAUUAUUUUUUAUUUAUUUCAUGAAUUUAUUUAUUAAUAUUAACUCUAGUUGGGUUUAAAAGUACCAUCUAUGGAAUAAACUUUUUCUAUACAAAAUACCCAUAUUUUGAGAAAAAUACGGCACUUUGAAACAUACUCGCCAAAUUAUUGUAUUUGCAAAUCUAUUUCAAAUGCAAUUAUUAAAAAAUAAGAUAUAUACAUAAUCAAAAGCAAAAAAAAAUCGGCAAGUAAAUUCAUUCUGAAAAAGAUAUACAGAACACUAUGAAUAACUAAAUCAUAAAUAUCCGGCCAAUCAUUGUACUUGCAUAUCUUCAACAUAUCAAUAAGAGAAAAU